CCUUCGGGUUGUAAACCUCUUUCCUCAGGGACGAAGCGAAAGUGACGGUACCUGCAGAAGAAGCACCGGCCAACUACGUGCCAGCAGCCGCGGUAAUACGUACGGUGCGAGCGUUGUCCGGAAUUACUGGGCGUAAAGAGCUCGUAGGUGGUUUGUCGCGUUGUUCGUGAAAACCGGGGGCUUAGCCCUCGGCGUGCGGGCGAUACGGGCAGACUAGAGUACUGCAGGGGAGACUGGAAUUCCUGGUGUAGCGGUGGAAUGCGCAGAUAUCAGGAGGAACACCGGUGGCGAAGGCGGGUCUCUGGGCAGUAACUGACGCUGAGGAGCGAAAGCGUGGGGAGCGAACAGGAUUAGAUACCCUGGUAGUCAAAUAAGAUACC
rnacentral:rRNA from 1 species